AGGAGAAUUGCUUGAACCUAGGAGGCAGAGGCUGCAGUGACCCGAGAUCGCGCCACUGCACUCCAGCCUGGGUGACAGAGCGAGACUCCGUCUCAAAAAAAGAAAAAAAUAUUUUAAAAAAAGGAUGUGAGUAACAUGCCUUAGAGGUUGGGAGGCAGGAAAGGCUGUUUCCUACUGGGGAAAUCAGAAAAGGUUUCAAGGAGGAGGUAACACCUGAUCUGGGCUUUAAAAGCUUACAGAAUGCGGACCCAGAAUGAUUGGAGAGCAAGAAGAGAGCAAUCCAGGUAGAAGCAGCACAGAGCAAAGACGGUGGCUGAGGACCACUGGGAAUUUAUUGGGAACGUUCAGUAGUGACUGAGUGGUUAAAUGGUUCCAGAGAUUACAGGGCCAAUGCCUUGGAACACAUGAGUUUUUUCCAGAAUUACGUUAUCCAUGCACGCACACCAUUCGUCUGUGUAGAGCACACUGAGGAGUACUUACUUAAUUUAAGUACUGUAUUUUGACCAAGGAAAGGGGGCCGAGUAAUGGUGGUGACAGACGGAGUUGCACCAAGGAAAGAUGGGUUGGGGCAGGGAGGAAGGAGGUAGAGGAUCCUGGUUAGGUCCAAGCUAGGGAGACAGAUGUCCUUUCUCCCUCCUCCCUCUGCCAUCAGGGCAGAAAGGAGAGCAGGUGAAGUGAGCGCAGGCAGGGUUGUUAAUGAAAGUGUGUCCCUGGGAGGCCUCUCACCUUGCAGUUGACCAGAAGAGCUGGAAUCUCUGUCCUGCUGGUCCUCCUCCUGCUCUCCUGGCCAUGAAUCAGGGCCUGCACCCGGGGAGACUCCCCCUGAAGCCAAUUCGGGUUUCCCUCUACCAGGCGUCUUUGGAUCACACUGUGCGGCUGCUGGCUCCAUCACGAAACAAUGAAGAUGGGAUCUUGCUAAGCUGCCCAGACUGGACUCUAAUUCCUUGGCUCAAGGCAUUUUCUAGCCUCAGACUCCCAAGCAGCCGGGACCAGAAGCGUACACCACAGCACCUGGCCUCCAUCCUUCCUUUCUGUUACCGCAUGUGUUCCACACUCCACGCAGCUCUCUUGGAUCCCUCAAACACCUUCUUAAGUUCAUAACCUGUCUCCAGACCUGUUACCUUUCAAAUACAUCUGCUUGGAGCUUCAGACUGGAAGCUAAAAACCUUGCUACUCCAAAACGUGGUCCUCAGAUCAGCAACUUUAACAUCAUUUCGAAGCCUCUUAAAAAUGCAGACUCUCAUACCUACUGAAUCAGAUGUUUCAUUGUGACAAGAUCCCCAGGUGAUUUGUGUGCAGGUUAAAGUUUGAGAAGCACCAAAGUAAAACAUGAAACUAAC